rnacentral:lncRNA from 1 species
GGGUAUUGAGGUUGGUUGGUGAGCCGAGUGUAAAACCAACGUGUGUAAGGGUUCGAUUGUGAUCCCGGAAAAACAAUCGGGGCGGUUCUAGUCGGUGAGCCAGGGAAAACCGACCGAGUUCGUUGUGAGCUCGUAAAACAACAAGUUUGGUUGUGAGCUUGGAAAACAACCGGCUGUAAUCCAAGGGGUUAUAGUGAAUUCCCAAGUGAGACUUGGGGAGUGGACGUAGGAGCAAGGGUUAGCUCCGAACCACUAUAAAACUUGGUGUUUGUG